rnacentral:rRNA from 1 species
GAUGAACGCUGGCGGCGUGCUUAACACAUGCAAGUCGAACGGAAAGGCUCCUGCUUGCCGGGGUACUCGAGUGGCGAACGGGUGAGUAACAAGUGGGUGAUCUGCCCUGCACUUCGGGAUAAGCCUGGGAAACUGGGUCUAAUACCGGAUAGGACGAUGGUUUGGAUGCCAUUGUGGAAAGUUUUUCGGUGUGGGAUGAGCUCGCGGCCUAUCAGCUUGUUGGUGGGGUAAUGGCCUACCAAGGCGUCGAGGGGUAGCCGGCCUGAGAGGGUGUACGGCCACAUUGGGACUGAGAUACGGCCCAGACUCCUACGGGAGGCAGCAGUGGGGAAUAUUGCACAAUGGGCGCAAGCCUGAUGCAGCGGCGCCGCGUGGGGGAUGACGGCCUUCGGGUUGUAAACUCCUUUCGCUAGGGACGAAGCGCAAGUGACGGUACCUGGAGAAGAAGCACCGGCUAACUACGUG